UCCCGUUUAGCUCAGUUGGUAGAGCGCGUCACUAGUAAGCUUCCUCGAUGACGAGGUCAGUCGUUCGAGUCGGCUAAUGGGAA